AAUGGACGCAAGUCUGAUCCAGCGACGCCGCGUGAAGGACGAAGGUUUUCGGAUUGUAAACUUCUUUUGCAGGGGGCGAAAGCCAGCAAUGGUUUGACAGUACUCUGCGAAUAAGCCACGGCUAACUACGUGCCAGCAGCCGCGGUAAUACGUAGGUGGCGAGCGUUACUCGGAAUUACUAGGCGUAAAGCGUGUGUAGGCGGGAACUUAAGUCAGUUGUGAAAUCCCGUGGCUCAACCACGGCGGGACGGCUGAUACUGGGUUUCUUGAAUUGGGUAGAGGAAAUUGGAAUUCCGAGUGUAGCGGUGGAAUGCGUAGAUAUUCGGAAGAACGCCAAAGGCGAAAGCAGAUUUCUGGGCCUUAAUUGACGCUGAGACACGAAAGCUAGGGGAGCGAA
rnacentral:rRNA from 1 species